GACGUAGGGGGCCAGCGUUGCUCGGAAUUACUGGGCGUAAAGGGUUCGUAGGCGGUGUGGCAAGUCGGGAGUGAAAUCUCUGGGCUUAACUCAGAGGCUGCUUCCGAAACUGCCGUGCUAGAGUGCGGGAUAGGCGAGUGGAAUUGCAGGUGUAGCGGUGAAAUGCGUAGAUAUCUGCAGGAACACCCGUGGCGAAGGCGGCUCGCUGGACCGUAACUGACGCUGAGGAACGAAAGCUAGGGGAGCAAACAGG
rnacentral:rRNA from 1 species